rnacentral:rRNA from 1 species
AGCGGACAGAGAGGCAAGCUUGCUCCCGGAUGUUAGCGGCGGACGGGUGAGUAACACGUGGGUAACCUGCCUGUAAGACUGGGAUAACUCCGGGAAACCGGAGCUAAUACCGGAUAGUUCCUUGAACCGCAUGGUUCAAGGAUGAAAGACGGUUUCGGCUGUCACUUACAGAUGGACCCGCGGCGCAUUAGCUAGUUGGUGAGGUAACGGCUCACCAAGGCGACGAUGCGUAGCCGACCUGAGAGGGUGAUCGGCCACACUGGGACUGAGACACGGCCCAGACUCCUACGGGAGGCAGCAGUAGGGAAUCUUCCGCAAUGGACGAAAGUCUGACGGAGCAACGCCGCGUGAGUGAUGAAGGUUUUCGGAUCGUAAAGCUCUGUUGUUAGGGAAGAACAAGUGCAAGAGUAACUGCUUGCACCUUGACGGUACCUAACCAGAAAGCCACGGCUAACUACGUGCCAGCAGCCGCGGUAAUACGUAGGUGGCAAGCGUUGUCCGGAAUUAUUGGGCGUAAAGGGCUCGCAAGCGGUUUCUUAAGUCUGAUGUGAAAGCCCCCGGCUCAACCGGGGAGGGUCAUUGGAAACUGGGAAACUUGAGUGCAGAAGAGGAGAGUGGAAUUCCACGUGUAGCGGUGAAAUGCGUAGAGAUGUGGAGGAACACCAGUGGCGAAGGCGACUCUCUGGUCUGUAACUGACGCUGAGGAGCGAAAGCGUGGGGAGCGAACAGGAUUAGAUACCCUGGUAGUCCACGCCGUAAACGAUGAGUGCUAAGUGUUAGGGGGUUUCCGCCCCUUAGUGCUGCAGCUAACGCAUUAAGCACUCCGCCUGGGGAGUACGGUCGCAAGACUGAAACUCAAAGGAAUUGACGGGGGCCCGCACAAGCGGUGGAGCAUGUGGUUUAAUUC